AUUUAUUUUUAAAUUCUACCUUAUUUUUGCUGGUCUCUCUCUCUCUGGUUCUCCAUGGCUCCUGUGAGGUGUCUUUGGUGCUGGCUGACCAUGCUGUGGGCUGUCUGCCUGUUACUUACUUUUAGUUCCAGUGAAGCAGCCAUUUACCAUCAUCCAGGCAAAUGCAAGUGCAAGGAUAAGCUCUUCAAAGUUGGACAGACGUUCACAAGGGGCUGUGACAAGUGUUACUGCCAUGAGAUGGGAUUCACUUGCUUUAGCCCGCUGAAGCCCACCUCUUGGCCUCAGAAAUGCAUGCGAACCCCAAUAGAUUGCGGAUACCGGAUCGUCUACCGGGAAAACCCGGAGGAGGAGUGUCGGGCCUACAGCUUGAUCAGGUGAAGUGGGAUUUCAACCCAUCAGUCAACAUCCACAUAGUGUUCAGAUUCCAGAACACUGCUGAACUGAGGCAUCUUUGCUUGAGGAUUACAUGCAUUACCAUCAUUGUCACUCUUCCUAACAGUGAAACAGAACCCCCCCCUUAAAUAGGACAAUAAUCCAGAUUCAUUUUGAGGGUACGGCACAUUUUCAUUAUUCUGGAAAUACUACACAGAGUUUUCUAUUGCAAUGCCACAUAGUACACAAAUUUUGUGCUGCAGGAGUGAAAUCAGCUUACAGCAGGUGGAGCUGCAGUAAAAGGUUGGACAUUACAAAAAAAAAGGCAAAACCAUUAUUCAAAAAAAAAAAAAAAAAACAUAACACAUUUGAAUAAAUUUGGCUGUUUCACUGCAAUAUAACAUACACAAAGUGACUGAAAACACAAGGGAAUCUGUAUAAUCCUGAAAGAAGCCUUGCUUCAGUUUCACUGCAAUAUAACAUACACAAAGUGACUGAAAACACAAGGGAACCAGAAUAAUCCUGAAAGAAGCCUUGCUUCAGUUUCAAUACAUUACAGUAUAAUUUGAGCUAUUUGAAUGUUUAUUAAUGGGCAGCUAAAUAUUAUAUUUUAAAAGGAUAUGUAAAGAAAACAAGAGACCGUCCCUAAAAACUAGGGUGUGCAGAUCUUCCUUUGUAUUAGACUUGGUAAUUUUACUGUGCAAUCUAAAUGAAUACUCGGUUUUUAAAGUGUACAUCUAUUUACAAAAUCCUCUGCAAGUUAUUAUUAUUAUUGAGAUUAUUUGUGUUAUGGUAAGAGCCUGACAACACUCCCUUUAAACCAAGGAAGUGAACGGUUAAGUUUAUUCAUUAAACAUACAAUGGUUAGUUAUGACCGAUGACAGGAUUGUGUAUGUAUACAUAAAUUCUAUAGAUCAAUAAUACAAACCCGUAUAUAAAAUCUCUUUUAAUCUUUAAAUAUGUCCGAAACAACUGUAUAGAUAAAAAUCAUAAACUGGUUUAAAUCCAUUUCAAAAUGGGACGUUUCCCAAUAAUUUGCUUUAAUCUUCUUAAAACAUUCUCUCAAAAUAACGUUCCUGUUUGCAAAUCAGGAACGAAUUGGUGGUACAGGACACCUCGUCUCAUACAUGUGUAUUUAGCUUAGAAAUUGUGAGCCAAAUGACUUGUGAUAAUUAUGCUUGUUAAAAGGGCCACAAGCAACGUUUCUGUGACAAACCCUGGGCACUCGUGGAAGUUAAAAAGGGCCUGGAUACACAAUGUAAUUGCUUUCUCAAUGUUUUGAUAAAAAAAUAUUUUUUGGGGGGGAAACUGUGCCCACAUUGUUUUAUGUGCAAUUAAGCCCAGUACAGUCCCCUGCUGGAAUGUAUUUACAGAUCAAAAUAUGUACGAUGUAUAAUAUGUUUACUUCUUUGUUAAAUGGAGUUUAUUUUAAUCAAUAAAAAAUGUCAAUUUACAACAUCUUUUGCAAGCCAACCACUACCUACUGGACAGUAAUGACAUUACACCUACAUUCAUUAUUAAUCCAAUCCAACUGGAUAAUGAGCACAUUGCAGGAUUGCUGUGGGACUCAGAGAAGAAGCAAAUUGCUGGUGACAACCCAUGCAUUUCUUCUCUAAGAGUUUAUUACAGUGAUUGCUUGGAGUUCGAUUUCCUUAUUCCAGCAGCUCCAUAGCAGUGGUUCAACGUGUGAGAAGUGCGCUUUCACUGUAGUAGUUAUAAAAAAAAAAAAAAAAAAAAAGCUUUGUCAUAAUAGGUGGUGUAAACAUCCUUGACUCUAAGUGUUUGCACCCAGCAGAUCUCGCAUGUAAUGAAAUCCAACUCCUCAGCCAUUGCUGUCUUUGGUGAUCCAGAUGCAAGCUUAUGCAAAACACAAAGAGGAUUUAUUACAGCCUGGGCUAACACUGAAGAAAAGCCAAAGCAGCCAAAAAAUAUGGUAUUGAAAAAAGUAACUAACAAGGUCUGUUUAACCAUUCCAAUGGUACAUUACAGAGCAAUCAUGAAAUGGGCUAAUUAACCAGCAGGGAAAGAGGGAAGAACUACACCACUUUUGGUAAAUGAAACCUUUAGGUUUCUGAAGCUAGAAGGGAAAAAAAGUGACAAGCUUUAUAAAAAUGAAAAAUAAGUACGUUGUAAAAAGCAAGAGAUAUGAAAGAUUUAAGCUAUAAAAAACACUGUAGUAGCUGCAGGCCCAGAUCUCAAAAAGAGAUGAUGUACCAACCAGUGUUUUUGCUAUUCGAACAUUGGAAUGUCUACAAUUUUAAAAUUCCUCUUCCAGAAGCCCACUAGUUUAGCAUUUACUUACAAAGAACCUUGUACAAGGAAAAGCUGAACAGUUUACCACCAGUAUAGCACAGAUCCAUUUGCAAAGGGCACAGUACAUUUACAUGUCCCAUAUUUGUAUGUAAUAAAUUUGGAAAGACAUACCCAGGAAAUAAUUUCUUGUACAUUACCACGGAUAUUAUCUCUUAAUAUUUACUAAUUCCAUUAAUCAACACCUGAAACCAAAAGUGGGUGCAUGUGUGUUUCUCCACUGGAAGAUUUUUUUUUUUCUUUUUUUUUUUUUUUACUUGAAGACAAAAUUCCAAAAUUUGCAUUCCUGAAUGUUUUGGUUAUCAACAUGAGUAUUUUAUUAUCAAAAAUUACAUCUUAUUUUUGGAAAAUCUAAAUUGUUACAACUCUGUGUAAAAAGACCAUUGACUUAAAAAUGCAGUAUCCCCUUUCAAAAUGCUGCUGGCAAGUUCACCAAUAAGCAGGGAAAUCAGUGUGCAAGAUUCAGUCUAAAUGCAUUUCAUGUUCGUGAGUUCCAAACAUUCCGAAUGAAAACGGAAACCUUGAUGGCAUAUACAGUAAACUCUAUUUAUGCACACAUGCGUAUAUACAUUCAGAUACAAAAAAAAAGUGCAGAUAUUUGGCGUUUCAGGGGAUUGUGUUCAGUCUUAACAUUUGAUUUUUCCAUCAAAGAGUUGGGCUGAAAUUACAGUUGGAAAAGGUGAUAGUGUUAACUGUUAUGCCAUCUACACUGGUGGAAGAGUUAAAACAUCAAAUACCAACACUUGAAGAUCAUAAAAUUGAAUUUAUUGUAAUUUGUUUUUCCGGUACGGUGGAUGCAAAGGUGGAACAUUUUGUCAAGGCUCUAUACACAAUUUUGUUUUUAUUUAUUGGUCUGUUUAAAUCAGUUAACGGGACAGCAUCUUAAAGGGACACUGGAGAUUUAACCCAAAUGAACUAUCUGCUUUUACAAUUAACUGUGUACAGAAUGAAGGAGAAAAAAAAAAAAAAAACAUGAUCUUAAAUUCCAACAACCUACAAUGUUACAGGUUUCAAAAACAGCAUGAUCUUCCUUAGAAAGCCAACUCUCCCCCACUUAGUUAUACUGAAAGUUUGUAACAGUCACUAAAAAACAAAAACUGUUUACAUAUUUCUCAUCAAUAACAAAGAUCAAGAAACUUGCAGUGUGAAUGUGUGGGGAAAAAAAAUAGAAAUGUCACUGUAGCACUGUGGAUUAUAAUGUUCGUAUGGGUCAAGUACUUUAUAGCUAGCCUAGAACGGUUAUAACUGAAAUUAAAAAUAGAUCUAAAAAAAUAGUCUAACUCCAAAAUAUUACAGUAUACUCGUGAAAAAAAAAAAAAAAAACUGGCAAUCAUCUGGAAUGACAGUCUACACGAGUUACUCUUCUCGUUCCAUUGAAUUCCCGUGUCUUAAUAUCUGGGGGUUUUUUUUGUUAGUUUUUUUCUUUUACAUAUCCACCUAUAUAUAUAUAUAUA